GACGAACGCUGGCGGCGUGCUUAACACAUGCAAGUCGAACGCUGAAGCUUGGAGCUUGCUCUGGGUGGAUGAGUGGCGAACGGGUGAGUAACACGUGAGUAACCUGCCCCUGACUCUGGGAUAAGCGCUGGAAACGGCGUCUAAUACUGGAUACGACCCAUAGAGGCAUCUCUUGUGGGUGGAAAGAUUUUUCGGUUGGGGAUGGACUCGCGGCCUAUCAGCUUGUUGGUGAGGUAAUGGCUCACCAAGGCGACGACGGGUAGCCGGCCUGAGAGGGUGACCGGCCACACUGGGACUGAGACACGGCCCAGACUCCUACGGGAGGCAGCAGUGGGGAAUAUUGCACAAUGGGCGCAAGCCUGAUGCAGCAACGCCGCGUGAGGGAUGACGGCCUUCGGGUUGUAAACCUCUUUUAGUAGGGAAGAAGCGUAAGUGACGGUACCUGCAGAAAAAGCACCGGCUAACUACGUGCCAGCAGCCGCGGUAAUACGUAGGGUGCAAGCGUUGUCCGGAAUUAUUGGGCGUAAAGAGCUCGUAGGCGGCUUGUCGCGUCUGCUGUGAAAUCCCGGGGCUCAACUCCGGGCCUGCAGUGGGUACGGGCAGGCUAGAGUGCGGUAGGGGAGAUUGGAAUUCCUGGUGUAGCGGUGGAAUGCGCAGAUAUCAGGAGGAACACCGAUGGCGAAGGCAGAUCUCUGGGCCGCUACUGACGCUGAGGAGCGAAAGCAUGGGGAGCGAACAGGAUUAGAUACCCUGGUAGUCCAUGCCGUAAACGUUGGGAACUAGAUGUAGGGCCUGUUCCACGGGUUCUGUGUCGUAGCUAACGCAUUAAGUUCCCCGCCUGGGGAGUACGGCCGCAAGGCUAAAACUCAAAGGAAUUGACGGGGGCCCGCACAAGCGGCGGAGCAUGCGGAUUAAUUCGAUGCAACGCGAAGAACCUUACCAAGGCUUGACAUAUUCGAGAACGCCCCAGAGAUGGGGAACUCUUUGGACACUCGUUUACAGGUGGUGCAUGGUUGUCGUCAGCUCGUGUCGUGAGAUGUUCGGUUAAGUCCGGCAACGAGCGCAACCCUCGUCCUAUGUUGCCAGCGGUUCGGCCGGGAACUCAUGGGAUACUGCCGUGGUCAACACGGAGGAAGGUGGGGAUGACGUCAAAUCAUCAUGCCCCUUAUGUCUUGGGCUUCACGCAUGCUACAAUGGCCGGUACAAUGGGUUGCGAUACCGUGAGGUGGAGCGAAUCCCAAAAAGCCGGUCUCAGUUCGGAUUGGGGUCUGCAACUCGACCCCAUGAAGUCGGAGUCGCUAGUAAUCGCAGAUCAGCAACGCUGCGGUGAAUACGUUCCCGGGCCUUGUACACACCGCC
rnacentral:rRNA from 1 species